rnacentral:lncRNA from 1 species
CACCUUAUUGUUGCUUGCAUGUUCAAGUCUUUGAGAUCAUAGUCGAAUCUUUAACUGCCAAAGGAGAUUUAGGUUCAGAAUAGAACCAAAGUUUGAUUUAGUCCUUUAGGGCUGAUUAUCGAAGUAGAUUUUGGUUUGGAAAAGAACCGAAGUCUGAUUUAGCCUUUUAGAGUCAGUCAUCAAAGUAGUUUUAGCUCUUUAGAGGUUGUCAUUGAAAUAGCCCUUGUCAGAUUUUCUUGAGAUGGGUCAUCUAGCCAGGGCUAAGGCUUUUGCAUAGUCGCAAGUCGCUUUGAGAUGGUACACAAAUCCAAGGUUGAAUCCAAGGUUGUCAUCGAUCGAGUUGAAUCUAAAGUUAAUUUUUAGUUAUAGCCUUCGAGGUUGUCAGUUUUCGAUCUCGAAUUUGGAGGUCCCAACUUGAGUUGGGGUAUUUCUUCAUGUCGGUUUUGGCCAAGCACAUACUCAGAGGUCCUAGUCAAAGUUGGGAUAUUUAUGAGAGAUUGGUCCACUGACCUAGUCAAGGAGGUCCAUGCU